rnacentral:rRNA from 1 species
CCAAAAACAUAGCCUUUUAUUUUAAUAUAAGGUGGUGCCUGCUCAGUGGGUGGGGGUUUAGUAUUUGAUAAAUAUAAAACCACUUAAACAGACGCGGUAACUCUGACUGUGAUAAUGUAGCAUAAUCAUUUACCAUUUAAUUGGUGGAGGGUAUGAAUGGCUUUACGAGUAUAAACCUGUCUUAAAUAGAAUGUUUUUAAAAUUGGAGUUGUAGUGAAGAUACUAUAUGAGAUUGUAAGACGAAAAGACCCUAUAGAGCUUUACUAUAGUUACUUUUAUAUUGGAUAAUAUUUUUAUCGAUUGUAUAGUAAUUGGUAGUUUAAUUGGGGUGAUUACCUUUUAUAAUCAACUAAGGUGAAUGAAAAAUAGUUUUGUUUUCUGUAUAAUUUAUGAAUUUAACAGUUAUUAUGGUAGAUUAUAUGACCCAUUAGGUAGAUGUAAAUUUCUAAUGAUCAGCAAAUAAAAGCUACCUUAGGGAUAACAGGAUAAUUUUAUAUUAGAGUUCUCAUCGAUUAUAAAGUUUAUCACCUCUAUGUUGAAUUGAGAUAACCUGAUGAUGUAGAAGUUAUCAAAGGUGGGUCUGUUCGACCUUUAAAAUCUUACAUGAUUUGA